rnacentral:rRNA from 1 species
AGGACGAACGCUGGCGGCGUGCUUAACACAUGCAAGUCGAGCGGUAAGGCCCUUUCGGGGGUACACGAGCGGCGAACGGGUGAGUAACACGUGAGUAAUCUGCCCUCCACUUGGGGAUAAGCUUCGGAAACGGGGUCUAAUACCUGAUACGACAACUACCUGCAUGGGUUGGUUGUGGAAAGUUUUUUCGGUGGGGGAUGUGCUCGCGGCCUAUCAGCUUGUUGGUGGGUAAUGGCCUACCAAGGCUUCGACGGGUAGCCGGCCUGAGAGGGUGACCGGCCAACGACUGGGACUGAGACACGGCCCAGACUCCUAGGGAGCAGCAGGUGGGAAUAUUGGACAAGUGGGCGGAAGCCUGAUCCAGCAACGCCGCGUGAGGGAUCGGACGGCCUUCGGUUGUAAACCUCUUUACAGUACCGACGUAACGCGCCCGUUGUGGUACGGUGGUAACGGUAGGUACGAGAAGAAGCCGACCG